rnacentral:rRNA from 1 species
UACGAAGGGGGCUAGCGUUGCUCGGAAUCACUGGGCGUAAAGGGCGCGUAGGCGGCUUUUUAAGUCGGGGGUGAAAGCCUGUGGCUCAACCACAGAAUUGCCUUCGAUACUGGAAGCUUGAGACCGGAAGAGGACAGCGGAACUGCGAGUGUAGAGGUGAAAUUCGUAGAUAUUCGCAAGAACACCAGUGGCGAAGGCGGCUGUCUGGUCCGGUUCUGACGCUGAGGCGCGAAAAGCGUGGGGAGCAAACAGG